rnacentral:rRNA from 1 species
AUGUGGCCAAUCGAUGUACAAAGGUUUCUUUCAAUUCCUCUCUCGCAACAUGAUAUGCCAGAUUUCAUUGCUUGGAAUUAUACGAAAAUGAUAUUCUUGGUUCGGUCAGCUUAUUCUGUGGAGUGGGACCACCAGUAUGGAAGCAAAUUAAAACACUCUAAGGGGAUGGGGUGAACCACGGUUAACCCUAUUUGGAGUAAGAUAUGGAAGUUAGCAUGUCCGGUAAAAGUAAAAAAAAUAUGGCGUAUGCUACAUGGAACACUCCUGUUCCGGGUUACGCUGGCUAAUACACAUAUGAAGGUAUCACCCAUCAGCCCCACUUGCUCUAAGUGUUUAGAAGAUACAAAUCAUAUGCUUUUACGUUGUAGUAAAACAAAGGAGGUCUGGAAAAGGUUGGGGACGGAAGAUAUUAUUGAUAAAGCUUGCGAGGUUGACCGUGCUAGAGAGGUGGUGCUGGAGUACGUACUACUUCUGCCAGAUCAAGAUUUGUGAAUAAUGGGUUACCGCAAUGUGCAUGAGAUGAUUGCUAUCUCAGCAUGGUAUCGGUGGUGGGAAAUAUGAAAGUUGGUGCACAAGGAGAAAACUCAAAAUGCACUUCAGAUUUCAAUGGGGGUUCUUGCCCUUACCACAAACAUUGUUAAUGCAUUAUCCCCCCAGGAUUCUAUGAAAAAGGGGUUGGUCUUGUCCUCCUAG